rnacentral:rRNA from 1 species
CAAAUGGAGAGUUUGAUCCUGGCUCAGGAUAAACGCUGGCGGCGUGCCUAAUACAUGCAAGUCGAACGGAGUUUUGACUGAAGAAGAAGUGUUUACAUGGAAUCUGAUUUUAAAACUUAGUGGCGAACGGGUGAGUAAUGCAUAAGUAACCUACCUAUAAGGACUGGGAUAACGUUUGGAAACGAACGCUAAUACCGGAUAAGUAAUAAGAAGGCAUCUUCAUAUUAUUAAAGGUUAGAAACACAAAUAGAUGGGCUUAUGUUGUAUUAGCUAGUUGGUGAGGUAACUGCUCACCAAGGCGAUGAUACAUAGCCGGCCUGAGAGGGUGAUCGGCCACAUUGGGACUGAGACACGGCCCAGACUCCUACGGGAGGCAGCAGUAGGGAAUUUUCGGCAAUGGGGGAAACCCUGACCGAGCAACGCCGCGUGUGCGAUGAAGGUCUUCGGAUCGUAAAGCACUGUUGUAAAGGAAGAAUAGCCAUAUUAGAAAUAUGGUCUGACGGUACUUUAUCAGAAAGCCACGGCUAACUACGUGCCAGCAGCCGCGGUAAUACGUAGGUGGCGAGCGUUGUCCGGAAUUAUUGGGCGUAAAGGGUGCGUAGGCGGCAUGUUAAGUUUGUGGUGAAAGCGUGGGGCUCAACCCCAUUAAGCCACAGAUACUGGCAAGCUAGAGUGCAGAAGAGGGUAGUGGAAUUCCAUGUGUAGCGGUAAAAUGCGUAGAUAUAUGGAGGAACACCAGUGGCGAAGGCGGCUACCUGGUCUGUAACUGACGCUCAGGCACGAAAGCGUGGGGAGCAAAUAGGAUUAGAUACCCUAGUAGUCCACGCCGUAAACGUUGAAUACUAAGUGUUGGAGAAAUUCAGUGCUGCAGUUAACGCAAUAAGUAUUCCGCCUGUGGAGUAUGCACGCAAGUGUGAAACAUAAAGGAAUUGACGGGGGCCC